rnacentral:rRNA from 1 species
UUCCUACGGGUGGCUGCAGUGGGGAAUAUUGCACAAUGGGGGAAACCCUGAUGCAGCAACGCCGCGUGAGCGAUGAAGGCCUUCGGGUCGUAAAGCUCUGUCCUAAGGGAAGAAUAAUGACGGUACCUUAGGAGGAAGCCCCGGCUAACUACGUGCCAGCAGCCGCGGUAAUACGUAGGGGGCAAGCGUUAUCCGGAAUCACUGGGCGUAAAGGGUGAGUAGGCGGCCGAUAAAGUCUGGGGUGAAAGGCUACGGCUUAACCGUAGUAAGCCUUGGAAACUUAUUGGCUUGAGUGCAGGAGAGGUAAGUGGAAUUCCUAGUGUAGCGGUGAAAUGCGUAGAUAUUAGGAGGAACACCAGUGGCGAAGGCGACUUACUGGACUGUAACUGACGCUGAGGCACGAAAGCGUGGGGAGCGAACAGGAUUAGAUACCCCAGUAGUCG